CCCAUGAUCAUUUCCUGUCAGUAAUGGAGCCCGGAGGAAGCUACUAGCGUUAGCUAGCUGCUUCUAAUGGUGCUCAAGUAGCUGUAACAAGACAAAACUUGGCUACAUUUUCACAAAAUAACUGAGAGAAAGAGAGUAGGCUAAGUUCAGUCGCCGUUCUCAACGUUUUCCCAUUCAGGCAGUAGGUAGAGAAAUGUAAAGUAGCGUUAGCUGCUAAUUUAGCACCAAAACAGCCUGCUGGCACCAACUUUACCGGAUGUAGAGGAAAUACAGAGGUUUAAUGGACCGUUAAAGAAGAGGCACUUUUCAUCACUUGGUAAAGUCGCCUACUGGACGUCUGGCGUGGCAUCAAUGGUGACAGACUGAACUUUGGUAAUAUUCACCUGAGAGAAAACUGGCUGAUGAAUAAUUGGACUAUGGAAUAUUAUCAUUGAAGACAUUAAAGAGACUUGAGAGCUCAGGGUCAGUUACAGAGCAGCACCACUGGACCUGCAGGAAAAGAGACAGAUGCAAGCUGGGAUUCCUGCAUAUGAAGAAUUUGCUGUGGUUCCACAUAAUCUGGGUGCAUUGACCAAGGUAAAACCAUUCAUUGAGAAGCUUAUACUGUCCUCUCACUUUCAUUUCCAUAGUCCAAAAAGGAUGAACUGACACAUACAGUAGUCCCACAGCCUGUCUCUGUUGACUGGUGACCUGUCUGAGCCUUGCUACAGCACAUCAUUAUCCAGGCCACCUGCUAGUCUGGCAACAGAUGGGAGAGGCUUACCUUGUGCGCCCCCCGACUGACAGCUCAAGUCAUGCAAGCAGACGUUUGUCAUUGACAACCACAACAAACUCUGCAUGACACUUGUAUGUUCAAACACUUCCCAUAUGUGGCUCUCUAAUGUGCAAGUGUUAGUUCAGAGUCAGUGAGAGAGAAGUUAUACUGAGAAAUGAAUGAAAUGCAAAGGAGGUUCUGGACAGAUUGUAGAUCUACAGAGUCUUGAGUUCAGCUAGGGUCACUACAACUGUGUUUACAAAAGCUAAACCAUUUCUGAAGGUUAAAUCUGUAUGUUUUCAUGUAUUGUCACAGAAGACAGGUAACUGUGUUGUUGUUUAAAGAAGGACAGAGCCUUUAGCGUUAUUUCUGUGGCUACUGUUCAGCGAACAUGGCUAGCAUAAAGCCUUCCAUAUGAUGUACAAAAUAUGGCCUAUAUACAAACUACAGUAUGGCUUAGUAAGAGGGCCUCAACUUCUCUUGAGUAAUCUCAUGCAAUGUUAUUUUUAGCCAUACUAGCAGCAUGGCUCAAGGGAUGACAAAGGCAAUGUCCUUGCAUGCACAUUAGCAUGCUGACCUUAGCAUUUAGCUGAAACCACUGCUCUGCCUAAGUACAGCUUACAGCGGCACAUUUCAAAAAUGUAGAUUGUGUAGUGGUUUAACAUUAUAAAAGUAAAAGGUUGAUCCAAAAUUCUCUUUUUUUCCUGUAAAUAUUGGACACACGCUUUAAAAGUGCAAUGAAAACAAUCUGUUAAGCAUAGCCUAUGUUUUAAAGAUACUUCUCUUUACCACUACAAAGUACAAUAUGCCAUUUAUUUGUUGGCCAACUGUCACUUUAAUUGUGUUAUUAAACUUAAUGAUUUGCAGUGUACAGAAACACCAGUGCAACAUUGUGUAUUAGUGU